GGCUGGUCUGCAGGUAGUGAGUUAUCUUAAUUGAUUAUUCACAGUCAGUUACAGAUUGAAUUUUUUGUUCUUUCCCCCCUCCUUCUAUUGCACUUGACUAGUGUCAA
rnacentral:Y_RNA from 1 species